rnacentral:rRNA from 1 species
GAAUUCGCCCUUAGAGUUUGAUCCUGGCUCAGGACGAACGCUGGCGGCGUGCCUAACACAUGCAAGUCGAACGAAGCUUGACGAAUGAUUUCUUCGGAAUGAAAUCUGAUAUGACUGAGUGGCGGACGGGUGAGUAACGCGUGAGCAACCUGCCCUUCGGAACGGGAUAGUGUCUGGAAACGGACAGUAAUACCGUAUAACGUAUUUUUACCGCAUGAUAGAAAUACCAAAACUGAGGUGCCGAAGGAUGGGCUCGCGUCUGAUUAGAUAGUUGGUGGGGUAACGGCCUACCAAGUCGACGAUCAGUAGCCGGACUGAGAGGUUGAACGGCCACAUUGGGACUGAGACACGGCCCAGACUCCUACGGGAGGCAGCAGUGGGGAAUAUUGCACAAUGGGGGAAACCCUGAUGCAGCGACGCCGCGUGGAGGAAGAAGGUCUUCGGAUUGUAAACUCCUGUCGUUGGGGACGAUAAUGACGGUACCCAACAAGAAAGCCACGGCUAACUACGUGCCAGCAGCCGCGGUAAAACGUAGGUGGCAAGCGUUGUCCGGAAUUACUGGGUGUAAAGGGAGCGCAGGCGGAAGGACAAGUUGGAAGUGAAACCCACGGGCUCAACCCGUGAACUGCUUUCAAAACUGUUUUUCUUGAGUGGUGUAGAGGUAGGCGGAAUUCCCGGUGUAGCGGUGGAAUGCGUAGAUAUCGGGAGGAACACCAGUGGCGAAGGCGGCCUACUGGGCACUAACUGACGCUGAGGCUCGAAAGCAUGGGUAGCAAACAGGAUUAGAUACCCUGGUAGUCCAUGCCGUAAACGAUGAUUACUAGGUGUGGGAGGAUUGACCCCUUCCGUGCCGCAGUUAACACAAUAAGUAAUCCACCUGGGGAGUACGACCGCAAGGUUGAAACUCAAAGGAAUUGACGGGGGCCCGCACAAGCAGUGGAGUAUGUGGUUUAAUUCGAAGCAACGCGAAGAACCUUACCAAGUCUUGACAUCCGCCUGACCGAUCCUUAACCGGAUCUUUCCUUCGGGACAGGCGAGACAGGUGGUGCAUGGUUGUCGUCAGCUCGUGUCGUGAGAUGUUGGGUUAAGUCCCGCAACGAGCGCAACCCCUAUCCUCAGUAGCCAGCAUUUAAGGUGGGCACUCUGGGGAGACUGCCAGGGAUAACCUGGAGGAAGGCGGGGAUGACGUCAAAUCAUCAUGCCCCUUAUGAUUUGGGCUACACACGUGCUACAAUGGCGUAAACAAAGGGAAGCGAGAUCGUGAGAUGGAGCAAAUCCCAAAAAUAACGUCCCAGUUCGGACUGUAGUCUGCAACCCGACUACACGAAGCUGGAAUCGCUAGUAAUCGCGGAUCAGAAUGCCGCGGUGAAUACGUUCCUGGGUCUUGCACACACCGCCCGUCA